UCAACUCCGUUCAAAGAUUUCUUGAUUUCCUCUUGUGCGUCUGGAUGAACGUUUCUGGAUGCGUUCUCUUUAUGGGAUUCUUCUUCGUCUUCUUCUCGCUUGGUUGAGUUGAGCGUUAGGAUCGCCGGAGGUGAGAGUGAUUCUUUACUCAAAUUGGAGUUUUAGGUGAAUUCUGUUCUACCGUCGAGGGAAUUUUGAUGCUUCGGUUAGGGUUUUAGGCCAUAUGGAGGCGAGCCGAGAUCAAUCAGUUGCAUCCCAUGAUUUUUUGGGGAGAAUGAAACAUGCUGCUCCCAUCGAUCACGUUCGAUCCGUCAAGAGACGAUGGAUUCCGAGAGUAGCAGCAAAGCAAGAAGGUGCAAUACUUCGUCGUCGCCAUGGCGAUGGCUUUUGUGGAUCAUCCUUUAUGGGCCAAUGCGAGUGACCAGGAUAGGCAAAUCCCCCAAUCACUUUCCAUUGUGGGAAAAGAUUUUGACAAAAGCGUGCAAGCUGCAAGUUUAUGCAGAUAAGCUAGUCCAACUAAACAGUUCAAUGAGCUUAGAAGCACAUUGGUGAGAAUACAUGCGCAGGCACCCUUGAUGAAAGAGGUGAACUGAUAAGAUGGUUCUUUUUAAGCUGUGGGGCACUCCGCGGGGAGACUCGGGCACGAAUUCAGUCAUUGGCUAAGGAAAGAGGUCAGAUACAGUAGCAUUCAUGGGAAGAACCAGAAGCUCUGGGGGCAGAGCAGGACAUUCUUUGGAUUGAUCUGAGAGCUCAACAUGACACCAGAGGUUGAUGGCAAAGGGAUUAGCACCGCUGGACAGGCGGAUAGAGGAUACCGGCACAAGCCUGUAGUCAUAUUACACACGGAAGAUCAUUGGUUAAGAUUUACAAAAUAGGCAAUCAACUUGCUGUUAAAGAAUAUAGGGCCCUUUUGGACAAGAUACCUGAACUCGAAAUCAUUAGUAGCAGCAUUGAAACUGGAGCAGACUAUAUGAGAUCCAUCAUCCGUGGACACACCUCCCAAAUGCUUGAGACAGUAAUCGAGAAGCUCCAAAGACGCCAUUCUGCAAGUGGAUCCUUUGAGAGCCCGCCUGGUCGCCCAGCUUCCUCCAUGACCUCCUGCAGCUUUCAACACCUUGAUCAUGGCUUUAUGCACAUCUUCCACAUCACUCCUUGU